CAGAGUAGAAAUUUACGCGUGAAGUGCUUUCUGAACGGGGAGUUGUCAGAAAGACGAAAGUUUUAACUGCGGUGUAGAUUUCGCAUCCCACUGU
rnacentral:ncRNA from 1 species